UACUAGCCCGGAUAGAAACGACAUCCUUUUUUGUUGCAACCGAAGCAAAGCGCAGAUUGUAACAAAAAAGAUACAGUGGAUAGCCGGAAAAAGC
rnacentral:sRNA from 1 species